GUGCCAGCAGCCGCGGUAAUACGUAGGGGGCAAGCGUUGUCCGGAAUUAUUGGGCGUAAAGCGCGCGCAGGCGGUUCCUUAAGUCUGAUGUGAAAGGCCACAGCUCAACUGUGGAGGGCCAUUGGAAACUGGGGGACUUGAGGACAGAAGAGGAGAGCGGAAUUCCACGUGUAGCGGUGAAAUGCGUAGAUAUGUGGAGGAACACCAGUGGCGAAGGCGGCUCUCUGGUCUGUAACUGACGCUGAGGCGCGAAAGCAUGGGUCUCGAACCGGAUUAGAAACCCGGGUAGUCC
rnacentral:rRNA from 1 species